AGAUUAAGAUCCAAAACCUCCCAAGAUAUUUUGGAUUUGCGGUUAAACAACAUGGUGACUCCACUGUGGAACCAGCCGUAUGAGGACCAGCUAUCCACCAAAUAGACCAACACCAGGGAGUUUCUGAGGAAUUUAUCCAAGAUGCUGCAACGGAACAUUGGGGAGAUGUCUCCGUGGCUGUAGC